CAGAGAAAGGUGCUGGGGCAAACAGGGUGGGCUGGCUGCAGCGAGCAGGGAGGGGACAUGGAGAACACCUUUACAGAGCUCCUUCUCCGGCCCUUGGUAUGGAUGGAGCCCAGCUCUGCUCUUCUCCAACCAGGCUGCGGUCUGACCCUCUGCUCCCUGCAAUGGGGAGCCCCUUGUAGCCCAGCAGUGCCGCAUGCCAGGCAGAGCUGGGCUGUUGGGGCACGCACGGGGCUGUGUCUGCUGAAGCAGGGCCAGGGCAAAGGUUUCUUUGGCUCUCUGAGUGUUUGGCGCAGACCUGAGGUGGAAGCGCGAGGUGGAAGGCGGUGAGGAGGAAGGGGUCAGGCUGGGGAAGGGGCCCUGGCUGGGCUGGGGAAGCUGUGCUGUGCUGGUGCGUCCCCCUUGGACUCACAACGUGGGUGAAAUGGGCGAGCCAGGGCUGAUCUCACCUCCUGGGUGUGCCGGGCUCUGCAUGCACAUGUGUUGGUAUGGGCUGUGGGGCCUUGCCACAGUCCCUCACUGGCACCCUGGUGAGCAGCCCCCUUCUGCUGGGGAGCACGGAGUGGGUGGCAUGGAGGAGGAUGGCCACCCUCACCUGCGUCCCCCUGGGGAGGCAGUGGUGGGCAGGGACCAUGGGAUGGAGUGCUUUGCCAUGGUGGGGAGCUAGGGGGGGUAUUUGGCUGGCAGGACUUGGGGGUGAAGCUGCAGGCACCCUUGUUGAUGAAGCUCUGUUUGCAGGGAGCCUGAGCUGCCCCUGUGCCCUGCCUGCUGCCCUGCAUGGACAGCCGGGUGCAGGAUGGGGCUGAGGCAUCGCUGGAGGGAUGCCCAAAGGCUGAGGAGUUGGAGAAGCAGCGCCCGGUGGCACAGUGGACGGUGGCAGAGGCGGGCGCCUGGCUGGCUGCGCGCAGUGGGGCUGGGGAGCUGGUGGAGCUGGCAAAUGAGCACGACGUCUCGGGCCGGGUCCUGCUGCGGCUGACGGAGGGGACCCUGCGGCGCAUGGGGGUGACCCCGCGGAGCCGGCGCCGGGAGCUGCUGCGGGAGCUGCUGCAGCUGCGGCUGCAGCAGGAGCUGGAGGAGCUGCUGAGCAUCGUUGGCCAGUGAAGACGAUGUCCCUCUGGAUGUCCUGGAGACUGCAGGAGGAGAGACAAUGCUGUGGGAGGACACAGCAGCAGCUGGGACUGAGCACCUGAUGCAGGAGUGAUGCUAGAGGGAGCCUUGAGGUGACUGUGUCCCCCCUGGAGAAGCCCAAAGCUGGCUGAUGAUGCUGGGAGAGGUGGCCACCGGGCCCUGGGUGGCACAAGUUGAAGGGUGGCUGCUGGCUCCCAUGGGGUCCUAUCGGCUCUGGCAUGCUGCAAGCAGCCCUACCUGCCCCCCACGAUGCUGCUUCAACCACGAGGCAGCCCGGCCCCAGGAGUGACCCUCCAGUCAGUCUGUCUGUCCGUGGCGUAGCGGGGCAAGUUCACAAGUUGCUGUGUAGGGGCAACCUGUCUCCUUGGUGCCCCGGGGCUGGCAGGAGCAGGGCAGCAGAGCCCAGCGCAGAGCUGGUCCCAAUAAACACUAUCCUGGUAAGCAGAGAGGGGUCCCCACUCUGAUGACCUAGAAAAGGGCUGAAAGCCCAAACCCACCGUGCCACAGCCCGGGGCAGGGAGUCUGCAGCCUCUUCUCCCCUGGUAUUUUCCUGGCCCUAAACUUCUGCACUGGAGGGAAGGGCCGGCCAUGAACUGCAGGGCAGGAUCCAUCCCCAGGACCCGAUUAUCCAGGGAAGAAGAGGGGGCCAAGCACUCCUUCCCCCCACAGUACCCUCCUGUGGUCUCCUAAAUCUGAUGUGGUCGAAGGGUCUGGCUGCAUCCUGUGGACCCCCUGAAGAGGGAGGGUGUCCAGGAGGUGGGAAGCCCCUGCGCAGGCAGCAUCAGCUGGGUAGCGCAGAGGCGUGUCUGGGGUGAGCAGGUUUCAUAGGAUCAUAGAUUCCUAGAAUCCCAGGUUGGAAAGGACCUCAAGGAUAAUCUGUUCUAACCUUUGCAGGCAAAGCGUGACCUAGACUUGAUGCCCCAGCACCCUGUCCAGCUGAAUCUUAACAGUGUCCAGUUUUGGGGAGUCACGACUUCCCUGGGGAGAUUAUUCCAAAGGCUGGUUUUUCUCAUUGUGAAAAAUUGUCCUCUUGUGUCCAGUCGGAAUCUCCCCAGGAGUAACUUGUGCCCAUCACCCCUUGUCUUUUCCAUGGGACUCCUUGUAAAAAGGGAUUCUUUUUGUAGCGAACUUUAAAUAUUGGAACAGUUUGGGGAUGCAGAGCUCUGAUUGGGGUGGGGGGUGAUGCUCAUGGGGUGCCUUUGGGAUUCCCCUAAGCAGCCCUGGAUCAGCCCCCCGGAGUGACCAGCAGCGGUGAGGUGUGGAGGUGAUGAUGGGGGGGGCUGUCAGGGGACAGAGCGUCACCCCGAGGUGAGCAAAAGGGAUGUUGUGGCUGCAGGGACAUGGCUGGAAAGGCCACGAGGUGCACACUGGGGUGGAGGCACCCAUCCGGAAGUGGCUGGCAGAGGGGGUCUCUCCAGCUCUGGCAUGGGCAUGGACACAGACCUUUCUGUGGCUGAUGUCCCCAUGGUGUCGCCCGCUUCAUUCAGUGCCUCGGGGGGGGUUGGUGUUCCUUCUCCCCACUGCUGGCUGGUUGUGAUGGGAGAUCCCAGCUCCUCCUGGCCCCAGCCUUGUGCCCGGCCACGUUUCUGUGGUGAGGUUCUUCGUGAUGACGUGGGGGAUUAGAUGAGCAGCAGCCUCCACCCUCGCCCCGGGUGUCAGUGUCCCUCCUUUCCUGUCUCCAAACUAAAGCUGAGCACCCAAAAGGUUGCCAGUGCUGGUGCAGAGGGGUGAUAGCCCAGGUUGCUCCUGGGGCCAAAGGCUGCUGCGUUAGUGAUGUGAAAGCCAAAGCUCCAGCCCCUUGGUCCCUCACCAGGGUCGGUGGCCAGAGAGGAGGGAAGAAGGGAGAGAGGGAAGGAGGGAGGGAGAGAGUGAGGUCAGGAGGAGCUGCUGCAGUGGCCAUGGGGACAGGAAAGCAGUGAUGCCAUCCUGCGUGGGUUUGGGUGACAUCCAUCCCACCAGAGAGCUCCAACGCCCCAGCUCUGCCCAGCCCCAGAGGGGAUUGAAGGAGCUUCCAUGAUCGUCAAGUGAAGACCGAGGGGCUGGGAGACCCGAUUUUCCCCAUGCGCUUCCCUUCGGCUCUGUACGUGAUUCCAUUAAAACCAGCCACUUCUCUCCUGGCCCAUUCCCUGC
rnacentral:lncRNA from 1 species